ACUAUAUAGAAAUAAGGAAAUUACUGACUGAAUGUGAAGGUCUUAGUUAUUAGCUCUACCUAAUU